rnacentral:rRNA from 1 species
GAUGAACGCUGGCGGCGUGCCUAAUACAUGCAAGUCGAGCGAACAGACGAGGAUCUUGCUCUUCUGACGUUAGCGGCGGACGGGUGAGUAACACGUGGAUAACCUAUCUAUAAGACUGGGAUAACUUCGGGAAACCGGAGCUAAUACCGGAUAAUAUAUUGAACCGCAUGGUUCAAUAGUGAAAGACGGUUUUGCUGUCACUUAUAGAUGGUUCCGCGCCGCAUUAGCUAGUUGGUAAGGUAACGGCUUACCAAGGCGACGAUGGGUAGCCGACCGGAGAGGGUGAUCGGCCACACUAGAACUGAGACACGGUCCAGACUCCUACGGGAGGCAGCAGUAGGGAAUCUUCGGCAAUGGACGGAAGCCUGACGGAGCAACGCCGCGUGGGUGAUGAAGGUCUUCGGAUCGUAAAACUCUGUUAUUAGGGAAGAACGAAUGUGUAAGUAACUAUGCACGUCGUGACGGUACCUUAUCAAAAAGCCACGGCUAACUACGUG